UCUUGGUCAUUUAGAGGAAGUAAAAGUCGUAACAAGGUUUCCGUAGGUGAACCUGCGGAAGGAUCAUUAAAGAAAUUUAAUAAUUUUGAAAAUGGAUUUUUUUUUUUUGUUUUGGCAAGAGCAUGAGAGCUUUUACUGGGCAAGAAGACAAGAGAUGGAGAGUCCAGCCGGGCCUGCGCUUAAGUGCGCGGUCCUGCUAGGCUUGUAAGUUUCUUUCUUGCUAUUCCAAACGGUGAGAGAUUUCUGUGCUUUUGUUAUAGGACAAUUAAAACCGUUUCAAUACAACACACUGUGGAGUUUUCAUAUCUUUGCAACUUUUUCUUUGGGCAUUCGAGCAAUCGGGGCCCAGAGGUUAACAAACACAAACAAUUUUAUCUAUUCAUUAAAUUUUUGUCAAAAACAAGAAUUUUCGUAACUGGAAAUUUUAAAAUAUUAAAAACUUUCAACAACGGAUCUCUUGGUUCUCGCAUCGAUGAAGAACGCAGCGAAAUGCGAUACGUAAUGUGAAUUGCAGAAUUCCGUGAAUCAUCGAAUCUUUGAACGCACAUUGCGCCCCUUGGUAUUCCAGGGGGCAUGCCUGUUUGAGCGUCAUUUCCUUCUCAAACAUUCUGUUUGGUAGUGAGUGAUACUCUUUGGAGUUAACUUGAAAUUGCUGGCCUUUUCAUUGGAUGUUUUUUUUCCAAAGAGAGGUUUCUCUGCGUGCUUGAGGUAUAAUGCAAGUACGGUCGUUUUAGGUUUUACCAACUGCGGCUAAUCUUUUUUUAUACUGAGCGUAUUGGAACGUUAUCGAUAAGAAGAGAGCGUCUAGGCGAACAAUGUUCUUAAAGUUUGACCUCAAAUCAGGUAGGAGUACCCGCUGAACUUAAGCAUAUCAAUAAGCGGAG
rnacentral:rRNA from 1 species